AGUGAACGCUGGCGGUAGGCCUAACACAUGCAAGUAGAACGGCAGCACAGUAAGAGCUUGCUCUUACGGGUGGCGAGUGGCGGACGGGUGAGGAAUACAUCGGAAUCUACUUUUUCGUGGGGGAUAACGUAGGGAAACUUACGCUAAUACCGCAUACGACCUACGGGUGAAAGCAGGGGAUCUUCGGACCUUGCGCGAUUGAAUGAGCCGAUGUCGGAUUAGCUAGUUGGCGGGGUAAAGGCCCACCAAGGCGACGAUCCGUAGCUGGUCUGAGAGGAUGAUCAGCCACACUGGAACUGAGACACGGUCCAGACUCCUACGGGAGGCAGCAGUGGGGAAUAUUGGACAACGGGCGCAAGCCUGAUCCAGCCAUACCGCGUGGGUGAAGAAGGCCUUCGGGUUGUAAAGCCCUUUUGUUGGGAAAGAAAAGCAGCAGGUUAAUACCCCGCUGUUCUGACGGUACCCAAAGAAUAAGCACCGGCUAACUUCGUG
rnacentral:rRNA from 1 species